rnacentral:ncRNA from 2 species
GGACAGCACUCUGGAGAGACCCGGCCGCCGCGCGGCCCGGGCGCCGAAGGUGCAAACCCGCCAUUGCCGCGGGGCAACUCUCAGGCAAAAGGACAGAGGGGCGGAG